AGUGAACGCUGGCGGUAGGCCUAACACAUGCAAGUCGAACGGCAGCACAGGAGAGCUUGCUCUCUGGGUGGCGAGUGGCGGACGGGUGAGGAAUACAUCGGAAUCUACUCUGUCGUGGGGGAUAACGUAGGGAAACUUACGCUAAUACCGCAUACGACCUACGGGUGAAAGCAGGGGACCUUCGGGCCUUGCGCGAUUGAAUGAGCCGAUGUCGGAUUAGCUAGUUGGCGGGGUAAAGGCCCACCAAGGCGACGAUCCGUAGCUGGUCUGAGAGGAGGAUCAGCCACACUGGAACGGAGAAACGGUCCAGACUCCUACGGGAGGCAGCAGUGGGGAAUAUUGGACAAUGGGCGCAAGCCUGAUCCAGCCAUACCGCGUAGGUGAAGAAGGCCUUCGGGUUGUAAAGCCCUUUUGUUGGGAAAGAAAUCCAGCUGGCUAAUACCCGGUUGGGAUGACGGUACCCAAAGAAUAAGCACCGGCUAACUUCGUGCCAGCAGCCGCCGUAA
rnacentral:rRNA from 1 species